rnacentral:ncRNA from 1 species
ACAGGGUGUUCCGAAAACCUGUAGAAAAGAGUAGGAG